GGCAAACUGAGCACUGAGGCUGCUUCUCCUCCAAGGGCAUUUACUGAACUUGGUAAACUUAAAUCACAGUCUUUUUUUUAAGUUUUAAUAUUUAUUUUUAUUUUUAGUUAUCGGCAGACACAACAUCUUUGUUUGUAUGUGGUGCUGAGGAUCGAACCCAGGCUGCACGCAUGCCAGAGUCACCAAAGUGCACCUUCCGUCGAUAAAUGAGAACAUUUUUGCUGCAUGACAUGACUCGAGCCACCUCUUUGUGCUUCAUUUCUUCAUCUGCCCUAGGUGGGCUAUUAAUAUCAAGCAGGUUGCAGGUCUCAACUCAGAUGUCAUCUCCUGUACAAACCAGUGCUGACCAUGGUCACCACCAUCACCUCAACCUGCAUGGAUCACCCUGCUC